GCGUCGGUAGUGCAACGGUUCAGCACGCACUCCCGCAAAGAGUGAGAUCAGAGUUUGAAUCCUGGCUGACGCC